rnacentral:rRNA from 1 species
AUACGGAGGAACCGAGCGUUAUCCGGAUUUAUUGGGUUUAAAGGGUGCGCAGGCGGCCAUUUAAGUCAGCGGUUAAAUCGUGGGGCUCAACCCCAUUCUGCCGUUGAUACUGGGUGGCUUGAUUGCGGUCGAGGUUGGCGGAAUUCGUUGUGUAGCGGUGAAAUGCAUAGAUAUGACGAAGAACACCGAUUGCGUAGGCAGCUGACCAGACCGCAAAUGACGCUCAUGCACGAAAGUGCGGGGAUCGAACAGGAUUAGAUACCCUGGUAGUCCGCACAGUAAACGAUGAAUACUUGUUUUCGGCGAUAUAAUGUCGGAGGCAAAGCGAAAGCGAUAAGUAUUCCACCUGGGGAGUACGCCGGCAACGGUGAAACUUAAAGGAAUUGACGGGG